GGUUAAGCGACUAAGCGUACACGGUGGAUGCCCUGGCAGUCAGAGGCGAUGAAGGACGUGCUAAUCUGCGAUAAGCGUCGGUAAGGUGAUAUGAACCGUUAUAACCGGCGAUUUCCGAAUGGGGAAACCCAGUGUGUUUCGACACACUAUCAUUAACUGAAUCCAUAGGUUAAUGAGGCGAACCGGGGGAACUGAAACAUCUA
rnacentral:rRNA from 1 species